rnacentral:rRNA from 1 species
UACGAAGGGGGCUAGCGUUGUUCGGAUUUACUGGGCGUAAAGCGCACGUAGGCGGAUUGUUAAGUCAGAGGUGAAAUCCUGGAGCUCAACUCCAGAACUGCCUUUGAUACUGGCAAUCUCGAGUCCGGAAGAGGUGAGUGGAACCUCCUAGUGUAGAGGUGGAAUUCGUAGAUAUUAGGAAGAACACCAGUGGCGAAGGCGGCUAC